UAACACGUGGGCAACCUGCCCCUGACUUUGGGAUAACGCUUCGAAAGAGGUGCUAAUACCGGAUAUGAGCUCCCUUGGCAUCUUGGGGGCUGGAAAGUUGUUCGGUCAGGGAUGGGCCCGCGGCCUAUCAGCUUGUUGGUGAGGUAAUGGCUCACCAAGGCGACGACGGGUAGCCGGCCUGAGAGGGCGACCGGCCACACUGGGACUGAGACACGGCCCAGACUCC
rnacentral:rRNA from 1 species